CCACUCCUUCCCAUCCCGAACAGGACAGUGAAACGACUUUGCGCCGAUGAUAGUGCGGAUUCCCGUGUGAAAGUAGGUCAUCGUCAGGC
rnacentral:rRNA from 1 species